rnacentral:lncRNA from 1 species
AAAGAGAAAGCUUGUCUGAAAGAUAUUGGAUAUCCUGGGACAUGGGUUCUGAGCCUCUGAUGUGGACUUCGUAUCAAUUGAUACUUUCAAAGGGAUAACCGAGUGGUGUCAGCUGCAGGUGCUUGGACUGUCCAGUGUGUGAAGUGUAAAAUGAAAGGUUAAAGACCCUGGAGAACUGAAGCAGGAUGGAAAGGACGCACUCUGUAUCUGGAUGAAUAACAGACCUCUCUGCCUCCACACCCCAAGUAUAAAAUGGGGAUAACAAUACUUGUGGAAGUGUUGGGACUAUUUAAAUGUUUGUGAAGAGUUUUGAGCAUGAAAAGAGCUAAGUACUAUUAGAACUCCAUUUCUAUCUGUUGGUAUGGACAACCAGAAGGAUGAGAAAGGCAGGCUGCUCAGUGCAGCUUCUGCAGAGGACCUGAAAGUCCGAGGAAAAGAAAAAAGGAAAAGAAAACGUAGCAGAAGCAGAUCAUCAUCCGUUUCAUCCACAUCAUCUUCUAGCACUACAUCCACUUCUUCUUCCUCAUCGCAUUCGUCAUCAAGGUCGUCAUCUUCAAGUAGCAGAGGUAAGCUGAAGCUUUUGGGAAAAGUGGUUGCCAGUGAAAACUGAGGACAAAAAAUUAUUGGGCGCCUUAGCCUUCUCCAUGCGUGUUGUCGCCAGUUCUCCUAUCUUGUUUGUCAGAGAAGGUACACUCUCUUUAGUCUUCCUUUUUUGGCUCAGUACCUGUAGAAUCCUUUAUUCUUUGCUUCCCUUGCCAAGUCCUUCUGGUAUUACCGUGAGAGCAAAUUCUCAUUUUUAUUGUUUCUUUUGACAUGCUUGAGCUGCAUGUGUUGUUAGGAAGACAGAAAAAGAUUGCUUGAGCAGCCUUACCUUAGACAUUUUUAAGUUUUGAGCCUGGCUAUGCUCUGGUAUAUUCCUGUAAUGUUUUAUUUGGAAUUGUAAAGGAACUGCAGAGCUGACAGCUUGAAGGCAAUUGGUUGGAAGACAGGAUUGGAUUGUUUAACUGUCUUUCUAGGCUGACCUUCCUGUUCUCAAAGCUUGUGCUUCAAAGUCAAAUUCCUCGUAUAUCAGUUGUAAUCUUUAAAAUUCAUGAUCAGCUCAUAGUUUCUACUUUAAAAAA